UACCCUAAAAAGUUCUUUAGACACAAAGGUUUGGUCCUGGCCUUAUAAUCAAUUGUAACUUAACUUACACAUGCAAGUCUCCGCAACCCUGUGAGAACGCCCUUAUAUCCCCCUUAGGGUCCAGGAGCUGGUAUCAGGCUCGACCCCUCAGCCCACAACACCUAGCUACGCCACUCCCACACGGGUAUUCAGCAGUGAUCAACAUUGAAUAUAAGCGAAAGCUUGAUUCAGUCAAAGUUAACAGAGCCGGCAAAUCUGGUGCCAGCCGCCGCGGCCAUACCACUGGCUUAAAUUGAUUAUACUCGGCGUAAAGCGUGAUUAAAGCUAUUGUAAACUGCAGUCAAACCGGACCUAAGAAGUUUCAAAUCCUCGAACCCGGGAAGUUCAAAAACGAAAGUCACUGCAAAAUAACCCACUUGACUUCACGACAGUUAGGGCACAAACUGGGAUUAGAUACCCCACUAUGCCUAACCGUAAACCUUAACUUACACCCAAAUCGCCUAGAAACUACGAGCAACGCUUAAAACCUAAAGGACUUGACGGUACCCCAUAUCCCCCUAGAGGAGCCUGUCCUAUAAUUGAUAAUCCCCGUUAUACCUUACCUCUUCUAGCUUUUCAGCCUGUAUACCUCCGUCCCAGCCCACCCUGUGAAGGAACCAGUAGGCUAAAAACGUUAUAACUAAUACAUCAGGUCAAGGUGCAGCAAAUGAAGCGGAAAGAGAUGGGCUACACUCUCUACCAUAGAAAACACGGAAAGUCACAUGCAACCUGACUGGAAGGUGGAUUUAGUAGUAAAAAGAAAAUAGAGUGUUCUUUUUAAUCUGGCACUGAGGUGUGUACACACCGCCCGUCACCCUCUUCAAAUAAUCUCACUAGUAAUUAACAAAUUUAAACCACAAAGAAGAGGCAAGUCGUAACAUGGUAAGUACACCGGAAGGUGCACUUGGCAACGAAGUA
rnacentral:ncRNA from 1 species